rnacentral:misc_RNA from 1 species
GAAAUGCGAUAAGUAAUGUGAAUUGCAGAAUUCAGUGAAUCAUCGAAUCUUUGAACGCACCUUGCGCUCCUUGGUAUUCCUUGGAGCAUGCCUGUUUGAGUAUCAUGAAAUCUUCAAAGUAAAUCUUUUGUUAACUCAAUUGGUUUCUACUUUGGUAUUGGAGGUCUUUGCAGCUUCACACCUGCUCCUCUUUGUUCAUUAGCUGGAUCUCAGUGUUAUGCUUGGUUCCACUCGGCGUGAUAAGUUAUCUAUCGCUGAGGACACUGUAAAAGGUGGCCAAGGUAAAUGCAGAUGAUCCGCUUCUAAUCGUCCAUUGACUUGGACAAUACUUUUAUGAUCUGAUCUCAAAUCAGGUAGGACUACCCGCUGAACUUAAGC